CGUCAUGCGCAUAAAUAAAUCAACAAUAUUUUGAUUUUAAUUUAUACUGUUUGUAUUAAGUUAUCGUAUGAUUUAAAAUGUGUUGAUAGUAUUGCAAAAAAUUUUAUAUAUAAAUUAACAGUAUAAUUACAUCGUGAUUUUUAUUUAGUAAUAAUGGAGGAUACAAGUAACGAAACGCCGCUUGAAAUACCUCCCCCGAAGAAUACUAAAUCAGAAACUGAUUCUGUUUCAUUGUCUUUAAGUCUUCCUAUGGGUGAAGACCGAAAUUCUAAAUCUGAAGAAAUUUCCGAGCAUAUUUUAUCUCCAAAUAGUGAUAGUCUCGAAAACGAUCGUUCGUUUCAAGAAAUAGUAGUUCCAACCCCCUAUCAAGAUAUUUACGUGAAUGAAAUUUUUAAAGAAGACAUAUCAAAAGACAAACAAUCUAGUGUCUUAGAUACAAGUCUUCAAAGUGAAACGAGUGUCAUAAGUUUGCAUUUUUUGGAAAAAAUCGAAGAUGAGUAUGUGAGAAAUGUUUUAGAAGACAUUCUCCAAACUAAAUCCGAAUUAGACGCUACUGCGAGCUCUAAAGACGAAAGUUUUAACAUGUUUCAAAACUUGAACUUGAACGACAAAAGUCUUACCAAUAGACUCAGUCUUAAUAAUUCAAGUUUUGAUGAUAAAAGUUUUAAUAAUGUUAGAUAUAGUUUAGAUGAAAAAAAUCUUGAUGUAACAAAUUUUGGACUCGAUCUGGUAUCUAAUGACGUUGAAUUGAAUAAAGAACUUAAAGAUAUGGAAGAAAUCGUUAUGAUAAAAGAUAAUACUUUAGAAAUAGACUCGAUGAAAGAGACAAGUAAUACUAAUACCAUGAGUACUCUAUCUACAACGGAAUAUAAGCAGUUACAAGAAGAAUGGCAAGGAAAGCUGCUAGAAUUCAAUAGCGAAGUAGCGUAUAAAAACGAUUUGAUAGAACAGUUGACUAAAUCGUUGAGUCAAUCUUUGAAAGAAAGAACGGCUCUGUUAACACAAAUUGACGAUUCUAAGAAUGAAAUAACGGAUUUACAUGAGAAAUUGGCAAAGGCAUGUCUUGUUAUUGAAAAUUUAGAAAAAUCGGUGGUAAAAGAAAAGGGGAAGCACGAAAUUAGUGAGAUUGAAGGUACGUUACCUGAUAGUGUCAACAAAUAUUUUGAACAGGAGUAUCUAGUGCUACAAGCAAACCUCGAUAGUAUACAACAAAAGAACUUGGAACAUUUGAAUUUCAAAUUUAAUGAAAUUUUGGAAGAAACUGUAUCAAAAACAAUGAAAAUUCACGAACAAGAAAUAAAACAGUUUAAAGACGAAGUAGCAAAGGAAAAGGAAGAAUUAGAAUGUGAGAUAUCUCGAUUAAGAUUACUGUUGGCAGAAUUUCAGAAUGGUACUUCACAUAUGAUGGACUUGAAAAAUGAACUUGAAUUAAAACAUUCUCAAGAAAUGGAGGAAUUGAGGAUGUAUUUCGAGAGAAAAUGUGCUGAUAUGGAGAAAAAUUACUCAGAAGAAAUAUUCAGCCAACAAAGUAAGAAAAUGUCAAGUUCAAGUUGUUCCGAUGAUGAAUUAAAUUCAGAUCUACCUUUAUCUCAUGCUCCUGGUCCUGAAGGUGACGUGCAUCACGAUUUCCAAUCAAAUAUCAGUAAAAAGGACGUCAUCAAUUUACAAAACGAAUUGAGCAGCAUCAUCAAUAAGAUUAAUAAAUGCGAUUUGGAUGCCAUGACUGAUGAUGAUUUUGCAAACUUGAGGGCUGAAAUCGGAAGGUCGAAUUUGCCUUGUUUGCUCAAAUGUUACAGAUUUCGAAGGGAAAGUGAUACAAAUGCAGAUAAUGUAAAUAAAUUGGAUGAUAUUGAUGCACAAUGUGAAGGGAAAAUAACAGAAAAUUACGAUGAAGGUGUAGAAAACUUGAGGCAACUAGAAUAUACAGAAAAGAACAAUAUCAGUGUCAGUUCAGCUGUACAGGAAGUGGGCAGUUCUGGAGAAUUUGAAAUAAAAGAUGUGAUCCAGAGCUACGAAAGGAGGCUACAGGAACAAGUCACGUUAGCCAAGAUAGAUAUAAUAUCAGCUCUAGAAACCCAAAUUCAGCGUCUUGCUGCGAGCGAAAUCGAUGAUGAAGAAUGGCCAACGGAAUUGCUCAAAUUACGAAAUAGAUUCAAGGAAAAGUACGAAAUUGAAAUAGAAGAUUUGAAACGUCGACAUCAAUUAGAAAUCGAAAAAUUGCGACAGGAAAAUUUGAAAGUUAUUCUGGAAAGUACUAGAAGACGUAGUUCUAAAGAAGGAGAAAGUAUAGAUAAAGGUGUAUUUGAACUACUUUCGAAAGAGAGGGAUAAUUUGAAACGUCAAGUAUCCUCAUUGAGGAAUCUCCUUGGAGAAUUAUUGAAAUAUUUUACUCAAUGUGAAGACGAGCUGAACAACACUUUGGUAGAUGAGCUGUUGAAACAGGGUUUCGAUAAAAAUUUAUCUCAAAUCGAAGAUGAGCUCAAUUUUACCCAAUCGAGUCCGACUAGCUCUUCCAAAACUAGCGAUAGCACUUUGAACGUUACCAGGGUUCAUCUGACUCCUAAUUUCACCGAUUUGAUAAAUAUAAUAGAAAACAGUUCGACUGAAGAAGGUGAUUCUAAAGAUAUUUCCAUUGGGUUGAAAAACGAAUUGAGUGUUUGCUUGGAGAAGUUGAAACACGAAGCUAAUGCUAUACUGGCUUUAACCAGCCAUAUAUCCAAACAACCGGCGAACGAAAACAUUGAAGAUAGAGGUGUUGAUUUGGAUGAGCAAAUUGCAGCUCUAACUAGAAAAUUGAUAUCCGAAACACAGUUGAAAGAGGAAUUUAAAUCGGAGCUGGAAGAGAAUCAGAAAUAUGUUGAAACUUUGGAGAAGGAACGUGAAAGAUUAGAAGCGGAAAUAGAAACUGUCGUUGCUAAAGAAAAUAUGCUCGAAGUAGAUUUGAUUAACGCUAAAAAUAAAAUAGCACAAUUGUUAGAAAACGGCCGUAAGGAAAUUGUGUCUGAGGGAUAUGGAGAAGCCGGCUUUCCAAUGCGCAGUUUAGGUGAUACUGUGAGUAUGUUGGCGGAAUUGCAAGAGAAAGCCAGGAACGUGUUAGCUCAGACGCGAACAGGUGCUGAUCCCAACCUGUUACAUCUGAUCGAGGAAUUGUGUCAAGUUGUGGAGAAGAUCAAAGAGGAAUCGAAAAGGGAUAGAUGCGAUCUCAUCCAGCAGAUAAACGCCGCCGAUAAAAAAUAUAGGACGACUCAGAAAUUUUUAGAAGAACAAGCCGCGGAAAGGGAGCUAGAAAGGGACGAGGCCCAAAAGAAAAUCGACGCUCUCUAUAAUCAACUCAGAGAAAGGGAUAAGGAAAAAAUUAAUUCGGUGAUGGUAGCUUCCGAGGUUAAUGGCGCUUACUGUAGAUGUAGAGACAAUAGUCGUGCCUUUGUACAGAUUGAACUACUUGAACAACAAUUACAAGAAAAGUCCUCCGAACUAGAGGCCUCUUCGAUGAGAAUCAAAGAUGUAGAAACGGAACGUAACGAAGCCGUAGAAAAAAUAAAAGUUCUACGCGACAUUAUCCGGGAUUUGGAAUUGCAAACCGAAUCGAAAUCCGCGGAAAUCGAAGAUUAUUUGCGGGACAUUAACAAACUUCAAAAUAUCAUUGCUCAACAAGAAGCCUUGGAAGGUAGCGAACAAAGAGGAGAUUUAAAAGAUGCUUCGGGUAUCGAGGAAUUAUACAGGCACAUAGAGAAAUUGGAAAAUGAGUUACAAAUAUUGAGAUUGCAGACUGAACUCGGUGGUAACGAGGGUACAGCUAAACAGAUUCGUACCCAGCUUUACGAAAUUGAAAUUCAAGUUGAUAAAAAAACCAAAGAAUUAGAGACGCUCCAUUCUACGGCGAGUACCAAUUGCAGUUCACCUUCGGAAGAUUUGUCUGCUAGAGAAAUAGUGUUACCGAAAAGCCCAAAGAAAAUGGAAGAUUGUGAAGUACCCCUACAACAACUUGCUAGAUUAAGGGAAAAAUUGAUUAGGCAUUCUAGAGCCGAAGAUGCGGCCAUGAAACGAAUUAGAGACUUAGAAAUGCAAGUUUUUGGAUUAAAACAAGAAUUAGAGGAAACUGCAAGCGAAAGGGAAUAUUUGAAAAAACAAAUUCAGGAACAAUUAGUUCUCAUAUCAGAUUUCCAAAUUAGAUUGGACGAACAAAGAAUCAGAGCUGAUAAUAUCGAAAAACAGACCAACACUUCUUUGGAAUUGAAAAUCUACGAUAUGCAAAACGAAAUAACUUCUUUAAGGGAAAAAUUGCAACAAAAAGAAAAAUAUAUCAACAACCAGGUUGUAUUAUUGAAGGAAACCCAAGAUAGAGUGAGGAAUUUGGAAAACGAAGUCAGUUGUACCAAAGACGAUGAUUUGAUAGUGGAAAUGCAAAAAGAAAUCGAUAAACUUCGUUCUGAUAAUGCUCAAAUGAAAAAGAAAAUCCAAAACGACUCCCAGAUGGUGCCUAAUUUAGUGGAAAAUAUAAUUUCAGAUAAAAAUAACGACAUGGAGAGGUUAAGACUGAAAUUAGAUGAUACAGAAAAAUUAUUAGAAGCGUACACUUCGUUGAAUUUGGAUAAAAAAGAUUUAAAAACUUUAGCCGAAAUCAAAAACAACGGAACUAAUUUGGAAGAACUUAUCAGUAUAAUUGAUUUGAGUCAUGGCGAUCAAGUGAGAAGAAUGGAAAGUAAAAACAACAGCGAGUCCUUGAUGACGACUAAUUUAUUUUUAAAACGAAGAAAAUCUGAUGAAACUUUAAUGGAUGCUGAAAUAUCAUCUAUAAUUGGACCUAAUACAGCAACUUCAGUACAAGCAAGAAAUUCUACCGAAAUAUCUCAUAGGAGAGUCCAUUUUGAAGACACUGAAAUAGAAAAUUUUAAAAAAGAAAUAAAAGAUUUGAAAACUUCCCUCGAAAGCAAAGAUACUGCAAUCAAAGAAUACGAAGACAAAUUGAAAUUACUAAACAAUUUAGAAACUAAAAUAGAAAAAUUACAAACGUCACUCGAAGAAACCGAAAAAACUCUAGCAGCAGCAUCAGAAACCUUUGAAAAGGAACAAAAAGAACUCAAAGACAGAGAAAAAGAAUUGGGCAUACAAUUAGCUCAAAAAAAAUUAGAACUCGAAGAAAAAGAAAAGGAAUUAAACGUAUUAGAACAAGAUUCUAAAAGAAAAGAUGAAAUGUGUAAAAAUUUAACCAGAGAAAAAAAUAUUUUGGAAAAAGAAUUGACAAAGUUGAAACACGAAAAUUUCCUUAACGUUGACGAAGCUAUUAAAAUAAAAAACAGUGAAAUAAACGAUUUGAAGCAACAACUAAGUAGCAAAUACAAGUGUGAAACUGAAAAAUUAAUGAAAGAAUUGUGUGAAAAGAGUGAAGAAACUGAACGUUUACUGAACGAAAUAGAUCAAAUAACGAUGGAUUUGGGGGAAUCCCAAUCUACUAACAACAUUUUGAAAAAUAAUCUGGAAGAUUAUUCGAAUGAAAUAAGGAAAUUGAAUAAGGAAUUGGAAAAUAAGAAUUUACAAAUCGAAUCAUUGACUACGGAAUUGAAUACGGCGAAAGAAAAAUUGAAUAAGAGGAAAAAAAUAAUUAGGGAUUUGGAAGAUACGGUAUCUUCUCAAAAGUCGUCGUUGCAAUCGCUUUAUGAAGAUCAAGAGCAACAAAAAUCUUCUCUGAUGGAUAAGGAAAGCACUAUUGAUGUUUUAAAGGAAGAUGCGGAAAGGUACCAAAGGGAUAUAGCUAUAUUAGAAUCUGAUAUAGAGGUGUUGAAAAAUGGGGAUUGCUCUAAAUUGAAACAAGAUUUACAACAAAAAGAAGACAAAAUCAACGAAUUGAUCAAAGAAAAAACGCAUCUGUUGGAAUUGCUUAACGAAAAAGAGAAAAUUAUCAACCAGAUGGCCGAAGAUAGUCAUCAGUUACACCUCAAUCUGGUUACGAUAAAAAGUAAAAUUAAGGAACCCGGAAAUAUCGUAGAUAUGGGUAACAAACUACGAGAAGAACAACGAAAAACCGCUGAAUUGGUACAAGAAAUCCACAAUUUGAAAAUACAACUCUUGCAAUGCAAAAACAACGACAUGACUUCUUCAGUAGACGAAAUCGCCGAUCAACUUAAACGAGAAUUAGACAAUUCGAUAAAAAUUGAUUCUAACAUUAUGACAGCCGUUAGUGAUCAAAGCCUCAACUCCAUUUCGGAAAUUCACGACGUUGAAGCCUGCAGAAAAUCUCUAUCUAAGGAAAAGACAAAUAAAAAGCAACUUCUUCAACACGUUCAUAAACUCCAAGCCAAAAUUACAGAACUACAGAACGAAUUAGAAAAAGAAAGAGCUGCUUUAUUACAGACAAGAACAGAGGAUGCUCUGUGUAUACAAAAGCUGAGAAUUCAAUUGGACGUGGUGCUGGAUAACGUGGAAACUUUGAAAAAAAUUGUAGCAGAAAAGGAGAACGAAAACUCUGAAUUGGAAAAGGAAUUAGAUUCUUUAAAGAGAAAGAACAUUAGCUCAGCUUCGAAAUCUGAAUCUACCGAAUAUAAAAAACUUCCAACUGUUGAAGCUGUAGCACUUAAUAAACUCCAAAUGGAAUACGAAACUCUUCAAGGGGAGAAAAAUAAACUAACCAACGAUUUAGCUACAAUGAAACAAACAGUUAUUGAAUUAGAGAAUACUUGCAGCGGCACCAAAGAUUUAUUAACGUUAGAAGUACAAAGAAAGAAAAAUUUGGAAGAUAAAGUUCAAUUUUUACAAAAGAGGGAAAAGGAAUUUAAGGAAAGUUUGAUGAAGAAGAGUCUCGAAAUGGAAAGAGUAGUGGAUGAAUUAUCUCAAGAAAAAGCGGAUUUGAUAAAACAAAAAUUGGAGCUACUGCAGAGAUUGAAAUCACAAAAUCCAUUCGAUUAUCGUCCCCCACCUCUUUCGGGCACAAUACCUGAUGAACUAUUAAACAAAAUCAAGGAACUCAACGCCGCUCUACUUGAUAAUAGAAAGCUGAUGGAUUUAAUAACAAGAAUUUCUAAUGAAAAGAAACAAAUAGAGAACGAAUUGGAAAUAUUGAAAUGUACAAACAAAAAUAAUAACUCACAGCUUCCUACCAAUGAUUUAAUAGCAAGGGUAAGUCCUUAUAGGAUCUUAAAAUUAUAGCUCGACAUGAAAAUGAAUGUUGGAUCAGGAUAUCGGAUUGCUUAUAGAAAAAAUAAGGAUGAAAAUGUGCUAGGAAGGAAAUUUUUUGGUCAUAUUAUGAGACAUCCAUAAACAUACUGCCUAAUUUAUAAACAAAGGAGGUAACAUAACAUAUUUUCAAGAAAAAGAAGAUUAGGUCUGGCAGAAACUGGCGAGUACAAAUUCGGUGGGGAAGCUAGCAAGAAUCCUCUAAAAGCACAUAUCUAACCACCUUGAAGUCAGCAUAGAUACUAGAGUUCAUUAACUGGAAAAUGAGCUGUCAAAAAAUGUAAAAGACAUUAUCAAUAUCUCUAAUCAAUUAAAAUAGUUCUAAUGUACCAAAACACGCAACUACAGUAAAAAUAAUCUACCAUAAUACACAAAUACAAUAGUUCUAAUGUACCAAAAUAUGCUACAGCAGUAGUUUCUUCUCCUGUUUGACGUAAUACGUUACCACAGUAGUCUUAAUGUACCAAAAAGAUGCAAUAAAAUUACUGUAGCUCUAAUGUAUCAAAAUGUGCAGUAAUACUCAUCUAUUAUAAUGUGUCAUUCGUUUCAUUUGAAAGGUGACAUGAUAAACUUUAAGAUAACUUUACUCUAAGAGGCCUUCAUAUAUCCACUCGAAGAAAAUAGUUCUAAUGUACCCAAAAUACGCACCCCACACCAUUAUUUUUUCCUUUUAUUGGAUAUAAAACGUAAUCACAGUAGUUCUAAUACACCAAACUAUGCUAAAGCAUUAGUUUCUCCUAUUCGACAUAAUAUGUAAUCAUAGUACGUACCAAACUAUGUAAAAGCAUUAGUUUUUUUCUCUCGUUUGACAUAAUACUUAAUUACGGUAGGUCUAAUAUAGCAAACUAUGCUAGAUUAUUAGUUUUUUUCCUGUUCGACAUAGUAUGUAAUCGCAGUAGUUCUAACGUACCAAACUUUGUUGAAACACUUUUUUUCUCCUGUUCGAAAUAAUACAGAAUCACAGAAGUUCUAAUAUACCAAACUAUGUUAAAGCAUCAGUUUUUCUCUCUUUUUCGACAUAAUACGUAAUUACAGUAGUUCUAAUAUACCAAAACAUGCUACAGUAGUAGUUUUAUCACCUGUUUGAUUUAAUACGUAAUCAGAGUAGUCCUAAUGAACCAAAAUAUGCUUCAGCAUUAGUUUUUUCUACUGUUUUACGUAACCACUCAUUACAGUAGUUCUAACGUACCAAACUAUGUUGAAACAUCAGUUUUUUUCUCCUGUGUCAACUUCCUCAAGUGCCAUUUGCAUAUUUGAAAGGGAUAUUUGCUAUACCUUAUGGUUUCAGUGCAAGUAGAUGAAGGAUUGUUAAAAAUUUUCUUAAUACUAGCCUAACUGUGAACAUUUUGCGUUUACAUCAUUCUAGAAGAGACCGAAUAUAGUUAUUUUUGUAGUAUUGUCGUCCCAGUUAUAAUUGGCCGAUUAUCUGUUUGCCAAAACUUUAAAAUUGGAAAGUACAAAAAAAGCGUUGAUCUUCCAAAAAAGGUAUCUAAUGCAAUGCAUACUUACCCAUAACAAUCCCAUAGAAACUCUACCUGAUCCGGCGACUCAAC